AAGGAGUCUAACAUGCCUGCGAGUAUUCGGGUGGAAAACCCGAUAGCGUAAAGAAAGUGAACUAUGCCUGAAUAGGGUGAAGCAAGAGGAAAGUCUGGUGGAGGCUCGCAGGGAUUCUGACGGGCAAAUCGAUCGUCGAAUGUGGGUAGGGGUGCGAAAGACUAAUCGAACCAUCUAGUAGCUGGUUCCUGC
rnacentral:misc_RNA from 1 species